GAUGAAGAACGUAGCGAAAUGCGAUAAGUAGUGUGAAUUGCAGAAUUCAGUGAAUCAUCGAAUCUUUGAACGCACAUUGCGCCCCUUGGUAUUCCAUGGGGCAUGCCUGUUCGAGCGUCAUUUGUACCUUCAAGCUCUGCUUGGUGUUGGGUGUUUGUCUCGCCUCUGCGUGUAGACUCGCCUCAAAACAAUUGGCAGCCGGCGUAUUGAUUUCGGAGCGCAGUACAUCUCGCUCUUUGCACUCAUAACGACGACGUCCAAAAGUACAUUUUUACACUCUUGACCUCGGAUCAGGUAGGGAUACCCGCUGAACUUAAGCAUAUCAAUAAGCGGAGGA
rnacentral:misc_RNA from 1 species